rnacentral:rRNA from 1 species
AUUGAACGCUGGCGGCAGGCCUAACACAUGCAAGUCGAGCGGAUGAAGGGAGCUUGCUCCUGGAUUCAGCGGCGGACGGGUGAGUAAUGCCUAGGAAUCUGCCUGGUCGUGGGGGAUAACGUCCGGAAACGGGCGCUAAUACCGCAUACGUCCUGAGGGUGAACGUGGGGGAUCUUCGGACCUCCCGCUAUUAGAUGAGCCUAGGUCGGAUUAGCUAGUUGGUGGGGUAAAGGCCUACCAAGGCGACGAUCCGUAACUGGUCUGAGAGGAUGAUCAGUCACACUGGAACUGAGACACGGUCCAGACUCCUACGGGAGGCAGCAGUAGGGAAUAUUGGACAAUGGGCGAAAGCCUGAUCCAGCCAUGCCGCGUGUGUGAAGAAGGUCUUCGGAUUGUAAAGCACUUUAAGUUGGGAGGAAGGGCAGUAAGUUAAUACCUUGCUGUUUUGACGUUACCAACAGAAUAAGCACCGGCUAACUUCGUG